rnacentral:rRNA from 1 species
GUCCACGCCCUAAACGAUGUCAACUGGUUGUUGGACGGCUUGCUGUUCAGUAACGAAGCUAACGCGUGAAGUUGACCGCCUGGGGAGUACGGCCGCAAGGUUGAAACUCAAAGGAAUUGACGGGACCCGCACAAGCGGUGGAUGAUGUGGUUUAAUUCGAUGCAACGCGAAACCUUACCUAUCCUUGACAUGUCAAGAAUUUUGCAGAGAUGUGAAAGUGCUCGAAAGAGAACUUGAACACAGGUGCUGCAUGGCCGUCGU